rnacentral:pre_miRNA from 8 species
CAUCAGUUAAGAUGUUACUUACUCUACAUGUGUGUCACUUGACGACCACUGUGAAGAGAGUAAAAUGUACAGUGGUUCUCUUGGGGCUCAAGCGUAACGUAGAGUGCUGGUCGACCUUGUUC